rnacentral:lncRNA from 1 species
UUAACUUGAAGAAGAGAAAUGGAGAAGGCAAAGGUGUGGAGUUGAGAUGUGGCUUGUACAAAGAUAGGGCAAGAGCUAUGGAGAAUGCCUAUCAAGAGUUAUGAAGUAUCUAAAGGUGUAGAGAAGUGAUCUGAUGGAUGUUCUAAGCAAGGGUAAAGUCUAGGAGAGACUUAGAAGGGUGUUGAGAAGCAAAUGGGCGAGUGUGCAAAGAUAGGGCGAGGCUGUACGGCCAUGUACGGAUCAGUACGGACGGUAGACGACCCAAGAAGAGCAGACUCGACCAUUUGGGGGUUUUAAGCUUUGUGCAAAGUUAGGGCGCAAGGGUACGGACAGGGCAUGGUCCGUACAUCUCCUGAUGGUGUUGUGCAAAGCUUGGGACAUAAGGAAAAGGAGUUAGGCGAAUGGAUAAGGUUCUGAUCAGAUGGCAUCAAAAGAGAAUCAAGUGGAGAUCCCUUUGGAGGAGCUUUGGGCGUGGAUAAGGUUCAGGACAGGCUGGCCUUGGCUGUAAAGUAAAGGCAGCCUUGACUAUGAACCUAGACUGAUUACAAGCUUGAUACAAAGGAGCCUAAGAAGAACCAAUCAAGAGCCAGCCUAGUUUGAAUGAGCCAAUGAGGCGCCAGCCUCUUCUUUCCAAUCAGAUCACCUUCUCCUCAUGACAAACAAGACCAGCUCAUCCACACCAUCCAUUUAAACUUCAAGUAUUAUCAGCCAUUAGAUUUAGGUUUAUGAUUUGCUCUUGUAAAGGCAUAUAUAAGCCUAAGGUUGGCGAUUUGUAAAGGUUAAGGGAGUAAGGGGGAUUUCCCCUCUCCACUUCUUGGAAAUAAGAAAAUUGUGUUCUUGAAUCAGAUUCUCUUUAAUCUCUCCCUUUCUUAGUCUUUAAUCUUCUAAUCUCUCAAAGUCUCUUGUUUCUGAUUUAAGUAAACACUCUCAUCAAUCUCUCUUUCUAAAUCACCUAGAGCAAGCUCUCAUCUUUCUCCAUUGGAGUUUAUACACACACAAACACAACUAGAGAAGAGAACUCUACAAAUCUCACAUGGUAUCAGAGCCAGGUUCAUCAGAACCUGAGCUGUAGCUUCCGCAAAUCACUUGCUCUCACCUCAGCUCAAAUCAAAGCCUAGAAGACAUGUACUUGCGGUUCUGGUUACUUCAAGAAGAAGAAGACUGAAGCAUGGCGUGUUACUCCUUAUCUCUCAGCCAGUUCAACCUGUACCUGAUGAUGACUCUUGUUGGAAGCAAAGGUGUGUGGAGAGGCCUCGCGAACCUUGUCCAUGGCGCCUUGUCCAAAGGCUGUUCCUCAUCUGGUGUGAAGAGAAAGCUAUCCAGAAGAUGGCGAGUAGAGGGCUUGAAGAAAGGAGGGGUUUGUGAGUAUGAGAAACAAGGAGGAAGUCAUGAACUGAAGGAGAAGGAGAUGGGUAACGAUCCAGACUCACAUAUCCUCAAAGUCAUGAGCUUACCAUCCGAGAGUGAUACAAGGACCAACCUGGUUCCUUGAUAGUAAGCGAUUCUUUAAACCUUAAGUGAUAAUGAGCUUGUGAUAAGAUCUUGUUGUGUGUUGUGAUGUGAUUGAAAACCUGAGGAUUGUUUAAAGAUUGCUAAAUGAAAUGAAAUGAAUUUAGAAUCUAUCCCAGGAUGCUUAAAGAGACUUGUUUGGUGAUUGAGAUUGAAAUAAUAUGCUUAGCUCCAGUUCAUAGUGAUGCUUGUUGUGAUUGAUUGAAUCUGCUUGCAUACAUGUAUUGAAACUGAUUUAAAGCUGUUGCAUAUAGUCUUGUGGCUGUCUUACAUUGAAGCAUUAGAUUCAUGUCUAAAUUGCUGAGUAAAGAAGCUUUAAAAUGCCUAAGUAGCUUGCAUAAAUCUAGAAAAGAAAAUGCUUGUGCUUAGCGAGUUUGCUUGCAAAGAUUAGAACUUGAAAAUGACUUGUUUAAUCUGUUGCAAUGCUUGUGAUAUUGGGAAUCAAACUUGAUGAUUAAUCAAGGAGUGAUCCCAAUACUAUUGUGUCUCAUCUUUGCUGGAGUUUGAGUGAUGUUUCAGGUUCACAAGAUGUGUUCUUGGUUCACCAUCCAUCCGAGUUGAAAGUAGGAGACGUUUGCCCAUUGUGUGUGCAAUGGAGAGUGGAUACAAGAGUGGUGAUGCGCCACUGGUGUGUAGUCUCACUGAAGCUCACUUGCAAGCUUGGACCUAUACUCAAUCCAAGCUUGAGGAGGGGAGUUUAGUGAGCUAUCAGUCUGUUCAAGAAGGUUCAGAAGGUCCAUUGCAAGCAACUGAAGAAGAAGGAGCCAUUCGGGUCUAGGCAGUGGCGUGUCUAGGCAAGAGAGUGUUCAGAGCACUCUUGGCUGUGAGAAGAUGGAGACUCUAUCAGUGCGGCUUCUAGUGUGAGGUGGCUGAAGAGGUAGCUGAAGCUUCCACAAGCAAUCCAUGAAGAUGGCGAGUUCAGAAGGUGUUGCAAUGGAGUAAUGGUACAGAUCAUGAAGCUAUCCAUCCAAGCUUGUUCCUGUGAGAGUCUCAAGCUUGAGGGGGAGUGUUGAAGCUUACAUGAUCUGAGAGUACUUGGUGGGUAUUCAAGAAGAGGAGCAGAUCAGUUAUGAAGCAGAAUGAAGGAUGAAGAGGCAAUCACCAAUGCGGCCUCUAGAGUGAGGUGAUUGGUACUACAGUCUGAAGCAUCCUGUCAUGAAGGUUUCAGUAACAUGGUGGUGACUCAUGAAGAAGAAGCAGCCAAGACUCAGCUUGUAUCUAUCAAGGAAGAUCAACCAGUCCGAGCACUUGAUCACAACAAGAAGGUUGUGAGAAAGGGGGAGAGACCAAGAUCUGUCUGAAGAAGAGUACAAGAAGUGUUGAUGAUGAGCAAGAGGAGUGGGUUCUAUCUUGCAUCACAUGAGGGCCAUGAUCCAGAGUCUUUGUGUCCCUUACAUUGUUGGUAAGGCACAAAGACUCACUGGCCAAUCCCUAGGCCUUGGAGGCUUUACUCUUUUUCCCUCAUCAAGGUUUUGUCCCAAAGGGUUUUCCUUGGUGAGGUUUUUAAUGAGGAAGUUCUUCAAGGUUCCAAGCUUGACUUAGGAUCAGCUAAAGUCAAGCUUGAGGGGGAGUGUUAACUUGAAGAAGAGAAAUGGAGAAGGCAAAGGUGUGGAGUUGAGAUGUGGCUUGUACAAAGAUAGGGCAAGAGCUAUGGAGAAUGCCUAUCAAGAGUUAUGAAGUAUCUAAAGGUGUAGAGAAGUGAUCUGAUGGAUGUUCUAAGCAAGGGUAAAGUCUAGGAGAGACUUAGAAGGGUGUUGAGAAGCAAAUGGGCGAGUGUGCAAAGAUAGGGCGAGGCUGUACGGCCAUGUACGGAUCAGUACGGACGGUAGACGACCCAAGAAGAGCAGACUCGACCAUUUGGGGGUUUUAAGCUUUGUGCAAAGUUAGGGCGCAAGGGUACGGACAGGGCAUGGUCCGUACAUCUCCUGAUGGUGUUGUGCAAAGCUUGGGACAUAAGGAAAAGGAGUUAGGCGAAUGGAUAAGGUUCUGAUCAGAUGGCAUCAAAAGAGAAUCAAGUGGAGAUCCCUUUGGAGGAGCUUUGGGCGUGGAUAAGGUUCAGGACAGGCUGGCCUUGGCUGUAAAGUAAAGGCAGCCUUGACUAUGAACCUAGACUGAUUACAAGCUUGAUACAAAGGAGCCUAAGAAGAACCAAUCAAGAGCCAGCCUAGUUUGAAUGAGCCAAUGAGGCGCCAGCCUCUUCUUUCCAAUCAGAUCACCUUCUCCUCAUGACAAACAAGACCAGCUCAUCCACACCAUCCAUUUAAACUUCAAGUAUUAUCAGCCAUUAGAUUUAGGUUUAUGAUUUGCUCUUGUAAAGGCAUAUAUAAGCCUAAGGUUGGCGAUUUGUAAAGGUUAAGGGAGUAAGGGGGAUUUCCCCUCUCCACUUCUUGGAAAUAAGAAAAUUGUGUUCUUGAAUCAGAUUCUCUUUAAUCUCUCCCUUUCUUAGUCUUUAAUCUUCUAAUCUCUCAAAGUCUCUUGUUUCUGAUUUAAGUAAACACUCUCAUCAAUCUCUCUUUCUAAAUCACCUAGAGCAAGCUCUCAUCUUUCUCCAUUGGAGUUUAUACACACACAAACAAAACUAGAGAAGAGAACUCUACAAAUCUCACACUUCUUAGGCACAAGAAGCACUGGUACUGCACAUGGGCUCAUGCUCUCACGGAUAUGCCCCUUUGCCAUCAAUUCCUCAACUUGUUUUUGCAGUUCUUU